GAGGGUACAGCUCAGUGGUAGUGCAUGUGCUUAGCAUGCACAAGGUCCUGGGUUCAAUCCCCAGCACCACCA
rnacentral:tRNA from 1 species